ACAGAGGGGGCAAGCGUUAUUCGGAAUUAUUGGGCGUAAAGGGCGCGUAGGCGGCUUUUUAAGUGAGAUGUGUAAUCCCCGAGCUCAACUUGGGAACUGCAUCUCAGACUGGGAGGCUAGAGUACUGGAGAGGGUGGUAGAAUUCCACGUGUAGCGGUGAAAUGCGUAGAGAUGUGGAGGAAUACCAGUGGCGAAGGCGGCCACCUGGACAGUAACUGACGCUGAGGCGCGAAAGUGCGGGUAGCAAACAGGAUUAGAUACCCUGGUAGUCCGCACUGUAAACGAUGAACACUUGGUGUGGAGGGAGUUGACCCCUUCCGUGCCGUAGCUAACGCGUUAAGUGUUCCGCCUGGGGAGUACGGUCGCAAGGCUG
rnacentral:rRNA from 1 species